CAUGCGGUAACCAUGUGAGUUAUACAUGUGACAACUGCCUGGUGAUUUUUUUUAUGAAGAUGGAAAUAUUACUGCAUUCAGAGGAAGUUCUGUUGUUGGCUUCAGUAGGGUCAGUACUGUAUGCAGAGUUGUGGCAGGCGUGCAGUGCAAAGGAAAUCACACCUGAGUUUAAUUAUAGCAGUUACAUGCUUCUGAAGAGCUGAACCUAACAAACUAAAUGAGAGAAACACUCCAGCAAUAAGGAAUGUUAGUGAAAGCAGCUGUUAAAAUCAGAGAAGAGCUCAGGUGAAGUGUGUGUAGAAAACUUAUGCAGGAGCAAAGGGAAUGAAAUGUUUCAAGUUAAUUCACUUUUAGAUGUUAUAUCCUUGACUUAGCUUUAAUUCUGAAAACAUGGCUCACAAGCUUCAAGACUGGUAAAGAAAAGAAUCCCCAAGAUCAAAGAGGAGCAGCAUAAAGCCCGGACAUCUAAGGCAGGGAGCCUUAUCUAGGACUACAAAAAGAGCAUUUUAUAGACAACUCUGCCCUGAAACCAGCCAAGCCUGCAACAGAUUUGGAUACACCAAAAGAUUUGGACUGGGACAGACUGUUCUGUUAAGUGGGUAAGUGGGUGGAAUGAGGAAACGGUGGUGAUAUCCAUUUCUACCACAGUUUGUAUAAUCCACAUGUAACUGGAGCAGGAGCACAUCAGUCUGUUCAAGCCUCAGACUUGUGAAGGAUGGACGGGGUUUACUAUCAGAGAUGUCACCACAGCCAGUUGUUUAUCAAAGCACAGUACGCUCCACUCUGCAAUGGUAUUUGUUUUCACUGGGCAUUUUGGCAGAAUAGCUUGGAAAAAUAAAAGAAAGCAGUUUUAGAAACUACUUAAAGGAAAUAACGGAGUGAUCCUAAGUAUACUCUGCUUGAGUUAUUAAAUUAUGAUAACAACAUUAGUCCUUCACAGGCCAUUAUUUUAUCAUUAGCUUAAUGUCAUCAUGUAUGAUUUGUUAGAGCACACACUUAUAGGCAGUGGAUGCAAUUAAAAAGCUGCCAAAUACAUCAGCUUUGCAAUAAAAUGUUAUCAGUAUCUACCAGUAAUCCAACAGCAUGUUUUCUUGAUGGUGGAAAACAGUUUUGAUGUUACCAAUGCGAGUGUUUGUUUCCUACUAAUACUAAUUUAGAAUCAUGCUAGGGAAACUUCUGUCAUAAAUGGUUUAUUGUGCUUGUGAUCUCAUCCCCAUCUCACCUCUCUGCACAAGGCAGAUUUCACUAGUACUAAAGGUGCAUAUUUAACAUAUUCCACUAAAAGGAGGAAAUGAAAUAGUUUGAAAGAGAAUAGGCACCUAAAUGAUGAUACCCCUACAGCAAAAUUAAUCAUGCUGCAUUUACUUUUCACUUCUUGAGACUGAAAUUUCUUUCAGCAGCAGCUGUAUAAGAAAAUACUUCCCACCUCUGCAAAACUGUGAUGUAGCAUUUUUUAAUCUAUGCUGUACUAUUUAACAAGUAAUUAAGGCGUUGUUUAAUCUCACCACAUUUUAUUAUAGGGAGGUUAAGAUUCACAGUGGAAAAGAUAUUAAUUAAUUAAGCAGAGCAGUUGGUAUAUGCUCUUUGGGACUGAUUCAGCAGAUAGAAGAGUUCAUUUCAUUGUUUAAAGAAAGGAUAAACCCCAACGAACUGGUUAGCAUUUACUUGGCUUGUUAGAAGUACAUUGCAAUUCUGGCACAGCAUACCCAGAAAAUCUUAUAUAGUAGUUGCACUUUUUUAUGUCUGCUAACAUUCUAUAUAUAACAGAAUGAUAGCUGUAGUAAAUUCCUGCCUAGCUUUUAGAAUAAAACCUCAUGCACAAGAGAGUUGCCAAUUCUAUUUGAAUCUGUUGUUUUAGAACUCUAAAUCUACUGUUUGGUUUCCAUAAUGGACUUCUAUUAAAUGUUCAAACCAUCAGUGUGUCACCCGUGGGUUUUAAACAACUCCUUGGAUGUAAAUUUCACCUGUUGUCCUGUUUACUGAUGCUGUCCUUUUUGCAAAAGAAACUCAUUAUUUUGCACUUGUGAAAGGAUGAUAUCCUAUAAAUGGAUCAUUGUGACUUUUAAAAGCAUUUGCAAAUGUUUCCAGAAGAACAUUUAGGCCAUGGUGGACAUCUAAGGAUGAAAUUAGAGCUUUUUAACUUCAUAAUCUUGAAUUUUUCUAUCACCAUCUUAGCACAGAAUCCUGAAUGGCUAUUUAGGAAAUAACAUAAGGCUGCUUUUCCUGGUCUGCCAGUGCUCCCAGCACAAAGCUGGGAUGGCACAGAGCAGGGAAGCUCUCAAGGUCACAGGGCAAAUUGUCAAUAUGGUAUUUGUGAGAAAGAAUAGAUUGGGUUUUUUAUUAUUAUUAUUAUUAUUAUUUUCCCCAAAACCUUAACCUAGAGACUUAAUAAAGCACUCUGUGCUGCUUGGGGAUGUACAGCUGUUGUUUUGCUUAAGGGUUAUGAAGCAUUUCUAGGGCACUUAGAUUUGUUUGCACGCUGUUGCUGAUGCCUCAUAAAACAAAAUGCUGUUUUUAAAUGGGGUGGCUUGAGAAAGCUCUUUGUUUUACUGUACUAGAGUUUAUACAAGCCCUUUGCCAUUAACCAGGGAGAUGUCUCUGUCAUGAGAGCAGCCUGAGAGUCCUCCAGGGUAGGUAGUGAAGCACUGCAAGGGCUGCCCAGAGAGGUGGUGGUGUGAAUCCCUGCAGAUAUCCAAGGUCAGGCGACAGAGCUCUGAGCACCUGAUAGAACUGUGGGUGUCCCUCUGCAUUGCAGGGAGUUGGACCAGAUGGCCUCUAAGGUCCCUUCCAACUCAAACAUUAUUCUGUACUGCUGCAUUCGUUCUUAUAUCCCUGUUAAGAUGCUGUCUUGAAUAUCUCCUGACACCCUGCCUGCUACAGACACUCUCAAUAAUACAGGCUAGGCUGAGAAAGUAAGAAAUUCUUCCAUUCUGUCUGUUCUGCUGUAAGGUUGAGUGCUAAGAAUAUAACCAUGAAUUUCAGCUUUCAUUGGCACCAUAAAGAAAUUUGAAGAAUUUAGAUUGACCAUGCUUAAAAUGGGCAGCUCUAAGCAAAAGUGAGGCUUUCCUUUAUAGUGUUCCUCACUUCCAUAUUCCUCUCUUUCUGUACAUGCAGAAGUCCCAAGCUGUAUGGCAUUAUGAAACUCUGAGAGAAGAGACUGGCUGAAAGGACAGGAAGCAGUUCUGAAUAAACUUUCAUCCUCAAAAACCUUAAAUUCAGCAAAUUAUCUGGACUAGGAGCUGGCAUGCUGUUAGGAAAUUUAUAUCUGACUGUGUGAAAAUCACAUCAGAAAAGCAUUGCACAAUAGUUGAAUUUUUGUUUGCUAUAGUGUAUCUAGUCUGUUUUUAAUAUGCUAUAUUUUUUGAUUUAGAUGAGCUUAGUUUCUUGAACAAAAUUCUGUAUCUUAGCAAUAACAUCACAGAGUGGAUUUUUUAUGGAUGGACUGCAAGUGGGAGAACAACUACUAAUCCGGAAUAGUAAUAAAUGCAAAUGUAGCACAAAACAUCUCCAUGAAUCUUCCAGUGACUCAGUUUUCUGAGGUGGCAACAAUCUGCAGUUGGAAUCUUUCUAUUUAUUGUUCUGGAGGCUUUACAGAUCUUCAUCUGCAAGAGCAGGGGCUGGAAGGUGUUGGUGCUGGCUGCUGGCAGUUCUUAGUGCUUUCUCUAAUGUAUUUCCCACUGUAAUACAGCCACAGCAGUCAGAGAAGAGAACUGAGUUCAUGGAUGCACAAGGGGAUGUUUCAGCUGAAUUUGCCAGACAAAUGUUUUUCAGCUCUGUAAUGGAAGUUGAAAUGCUUUGUGCUGCAUUAAUAAUGACAGUGGCAGUGCUUGCAAUAGGAGCAUAUUGUGAAACAUUUACAGACACACUUAGGGAGGAAAUUUUAACAAACUAAUUUGUAACUUAGAGUGAAGUUAAGGGGUUAAAUGAGGUUUAUCUGAAAAUAAAUCCAGUUUAUGUCUCAUUACAGGUGUGAAGAAAUGACAAAUAUAAACAUGAGCAUGCAGAUUGCUUUCAUGGGAGAUUUGAUUAAACAAAUAAGGCAGUUUAAGAACAGUUGGAAAGGAAAUAUUCCAUUCCAUUCAAGGUGAUGGUAAAAGUUGUAUCUGUAUUUCACAGCAGUGGGAACUUCAGGUUUCUACCUAACAGGAGUCAGAGGGAUGGCUGAGGUUCUCAUUAGCACAGUGAGCUCUGCUGCAGAGGAAGCAUGAGGAAAUGUCUUCCUGACCAAAUGUCUUUGAAGGGAUUUACUUUUUAGGAAAAAAACACAAUAUAUAUAUUGUUUUAAAGGAGUUUCCUAAGCUUCUUUUCCUGAUAGUACUGCCUAGUGAUCCCUAACCAUGAAUGCUAUGAACUACUUAAGAACAGCCCCAACAUCAGAAGUGCCAUUUGCCUGUCAGAAUGAAGCAUUUGCAACCACUUUCUGAAGUGACAGUGUGAUGGGACAGUUCAAGGGAAAAAUAGUGUAAUUAAUAUUAGGGCUGAGACUGGGACAGCACCCUUUCCAAUUGGAGGGAAUAAUUUAACACACGUGGUGACUUAGUAAGUCCUUUACUUGUGUGAGACAUUAUCCAUGUGCAUGAGCAGCUGUGGAUAGUAAAAAUUGCUUGUCACUUUUUAUACAUGUGGGAAUCUUAAAUUUAGCACCUCUCAAAUCUGAGUAAUUUCUUUCCAUCUGCUUAAAACAUCACUGUUUGGAACUUUUCCUACUCUUGCAAUAGUCAGCUAAAUUUGAACCUCAAACAUGACUCAACAUAGUGCUCCCAUUCCAGUAGAAAAGCAUCAUUUUACACCACAUUCAUCAAAUUUUCUUUGCUGGAGAUGAUCUAUUAUAGAUAUUAUUAUCAUAGAAGUCAUACCAACUUGCAAGCUGCAAGGUACAAUUACACUGAGCUGCAAGUUGUUUUCUCUGUCUGACUGUUUUAGUGAUAUGCCAGUCAUUUCUUCUUCCAGAUUUGUUUCUUGCUCCUUUUAGGGUCUGUAGAGUUAAGGCACUUGCCUUCAUAUUGUGAUGUUAUAUAUCCUUCUUUAUGUUAUCAUGAUUAUCAAUUCAGCAAUUAAUGAAGUUCCCAAUAGCAGAGAAGAGGUGGAAUUCAGAAAUCCUACUGAGGAUCAAUGAGUAUUGUGUUCCAGAUGGUAACUCUGUAGGAACAGAACAGCUUUCAGGGGAAGAAAUUUUACAAGACAUACACUACAGAAAUCCUCCACAGAUCUAUGAGGCUGAAAUUCAGAUGAAGUGCAGUGUGAGUGAAAAUAAAGAUGAAACAGAGCUGGUGUGGUCCACUGUCAGUCUGGAGGAGAAGAGUGUACCACUUCCAUUUCCACUACUCAUUUAAUAGCUGUAGGCUCAGUCUGAUGAAGUUUCAGUUGGCUGCUUGAAUCCUGUUAAAGGAAAUAGGGUUUGCCCUUUAUUUUUCACUGGGUCCAGCACACUUGUAGAUAUUAAUCUGGAGCAGAAGACUGAUUUCUAGCUCAGAAUAAAUGUCAGACUGGAAAUAGACUUUGUCAUCCCAUCCAAGUCAUACAAAUUCUUUGCAUCAUCUCUCCCAGUCCUGCAAGCCUAGAAGAAAAAGAAAGAAACCUCUCUUUUAUCUCUGAUUUGAGGUUUGGGGAUGUCUGGAUUCAGCUUUUGACUUUACCUGAAGCAUCAGCAACAAGUCUGCAUAGCAGUUAUAGUCAAUAAGGUGGAGGUGGGUGGUCAUAUCCUAACCUUGUUCUUCAGUGGCUGUCAUCCAGUCAUCAAAGCAGUUGAUCUAAGUUCUGAUCUUAAGCAGAUCCCAGGUAAGUGGAGCAUCUGUGUGAAGUGUCAUUGAUGUGCUAUGGCUGUCUGAUGAACAGAUGACAGCUAACUGAGCAACCUGGUCUACAGAGAGGGAUGUCCCUGCCUACAGCAGGGGGUUGGAAUCUUAAUGGUCCUUCCAGCCCAAACCAUUCUAUGAUUCUAACUCAUCAGAACAGGUCAUAAAAAGACAGACUACAGCUUGCCAUGCGUUGUGGAUUGGAGGGACAAAAAGGGUUCUGGUUUGCUUUUUGUCAGAGGAGUAAGGUGCUUUAUUGGUAGGCAAAUGAAGAGUCCACAUGUUAUGGAGUAAAUGUAGGUGGAUUACUGCAAGCAUCCCAGGCAGCUGGGUGACAACUUGCAUAUAUUGCAUAGAAGGACAGAAUAAGAUCUGUCAGUGCCACUGAUUUACAUGAAAUCCAAUUCAGCCUAAGUGGUACCACAGAAGUAAUUCUGUGUUAAUUAAAAAUGAUAGACCAGAUUAGUCAUCCUUAUAGACAUUUUGGGAAAAUAGGUUUUGUUUUCUGAGAAGUUUUCUAUGUGAUGUAGGGGAUUUUGCUGCUUCUUUUUCUGACACACCACCUAAAUGAAGUAAAUUAUUCACUUUAAGGACAGCUCAAUAAGCAUCAAACUUCUUCAGCUCUUUGUGGACAGGACAAGUAAGUAAUACUGGAACAAGGAUUUAAGGGAGACAUCUUACUGUGCACAUACAUCUUGUUGCUAUUUAGUGUAAUGCUGCCAUAGCCAGUGACAGCAGUAACCUCCCUGUGCUCCUGUUCUGUGCUCAAGACGCAGCUGUCAAAGAUGAGUUUAUGCUUUCAGGGGCAAAUUACAUGUUUAGUCAAUCACAGAGCUCAAGUUGGAGUGCAUUUAGAAUUUAAGUUUUAACUGAAAUUCACUUUCUAUCCAUCUAUUUAGAGCAAUAUCAUCUAACUAAAUUUUGCUUCCGUUGUGAAAAUCCCUGUAGAAUGUGAUAGCACUUUAAAUGCAUAUUUUUAUUCAUUUUGCAAUUAUUGUGCAUGGUUUUCAAUUACAGCUGCUGUCUGAAAUGAAACAAAAAUGGCAUUAUAUAACAGUAUUAGUGACAAUAGUACCCAAUAACCACUGACUACAAAGUAACUACUAAUGAUCUAUUUUCAUGUGAUUUAUCUUGUUUCUACUUUCUGAUAUGCAAAGCUAUCUUCAUAAGACCAAGACGCUCUUUUAAGUGCAAACUUAAAGUCUUGUGAACAUCCUGAGGGCAGUGAAACAUGACAUCCAACACAGCUUCAUAAGACACAGUUCGCGGCUUUGGAAUUUCACUUACAUUCCCUCAUUGCCUUUUCAGUGUGGGCAUGAAGGAUUGUCAUGCCCAACACAGGUACCUGACAAUGAUACUGCUUGAAACUGAAAUGUAGACAAAAGAUGAAGUUACAUUCUAUUCAUCUCAAUAUUACCCUUUCAGUAUGGCUGAAAUAAAGGUGCUUUAUAAUGUUUAGCUUGUCGAAAGCAGUAUCUAUUUUUCACAUGUAACACACUAUUUUUUUUUAAUUCAAAAGCAUUUAAAGCUUUGUUUUUAUGUUUUUGUCUAAAACCUGAAACUUUGAUAAGUUUUUAUACAUAUUUUGGUAUAUUUUUCAUUGUAGUGAGAGAACCAAACUAUCAGAAAGCUCUGGAAUGUGCAGUAUAUUAUCAUACACCUUGUCUGUGGUCUGAAAAAUUGAUCUGUGGACCCUUAAUCACAGUUUUAAUAUAGAUGUAUGUGUCAUCUCAUUGAUUAAUCCCUUCUCACAAGCAGACUGAUGAUUACAGAAAUACCAUCUCAGUUUGGGGCAGUAGCAGUGUAUGUAUGAAUGCACUAAGAAAGAGAUGCACAUUUGCUGCAAUAUGGACAAGGAUCUGGAUCUCCUCCCUCCCUGAAGUUCAUAGAGAGACACCUGAUGGCUGCCCUACACCUACUGUGAGUUCCUGAUUGCAUACCAUUAGAAAUGAGCUGCUCAAAUGCUUAUCAUCUUUUAUGUAACUCAAUGCAUGAAAUCAUGCUAAGCCAAAAGGUGCCUAAAGUCAUGCUUCACCUUGAUUGCAUCCUUCUUCUAUGGCUAGCCUGUAAUUUUCUGUUAAAUAAGGUGUUUCUGCAUACAUAUCAAAUAGAGACUUAACUGUCAGAAAUUAGGAAUGAUUGGUAUAAUUUCUGACUUUUGGGAAACUGAUUGGGAUAAUGAAAGGUGUCGAUCUAAAUGUUGUAUUUUGCAGCCUGGUGGUUUCAGGAGAAAUUGAUUAAAAUUAAUCAAAGAGAAACUAAUCCAGAAAAGAGCUUUUUCCACUAGUGCUUUGGGCAGUGUUAGAAUGAGACUUUCUAAAACAGUUCAUGCCCUGAAGGUUUUGCUGGAUACAUUUCAACCACUCUUCUGAGGUAUGACAAAGAUGAAUGUUCAAUUUGUAAAGGUGGCCCAUGGCUUGAAAAUGAGACAAAGUAGAUCUGCUCCAACCUCAUGGACCUUAAACCUGAGUGUGGAACAGGAGAAAUUCGGGGAAUCUUCUACCUACUCCUUUAAAAGUAAUUAUUUCAAAGACUGAGUUCAAAGGAACUUUAAUAAAAAAAGUUAUGUAUGGAACAUGGUCAACAAACUAAAAAUCACGAAUAACAAAGGAAUACUUUGCAGUAUGUGUUAGAAAAUAUAUAGGCAGAAUAUAUAUUUAAACUCGACAAAGAAAAGACUGAUAUCCAAAUUUUUAAACUGUGAGGUAUUGAGAAAUAGUAACAGAUGGCCUGUUCACAGAACAGGACUUUUCCCCACAUGAUUUAUGCUGAUUAUACAGAAAAACAGUCAGCUUCAGCUGAUUGAGCAAGUAAAAGAGUAGGGAGAGGACAACAGACAUUACUGCCCUUCCUUCUAGAAGCCUUUGAUUUGUCCAUACUAGACGUGACUAGAAUCCUACUCUUCAGUCCUUUAUCUGUUCAUUUUCAAUUUCUGCUUUCUUUCCUAUUUCUGGUCCUUUUUUCUCUUAUUCUUUGUCUACUAGAACACACCAACCAUGUAAAGGCAUGAGAGCGAUCAUAACAAAAAGCAAAUCUAGUUACUAACGUGUUUCUUUUCUCAACCAAAAGCUUACGGGGAUAGAUUUUCAAUAUACUGAGUUAUUUGUUAAUUAGCAGAUGUUAUUGCCUUUGAGGACUCCAGGUGGUACAAUCAAAACUCCCAAAGUCUGUGCAGACUUUUUGCAUAGAGCUUUGAAAAUACAUUCCUGAAGUGGCAAAUGGAUCAAAAUAUGUAGAAACAGAAAAGCUACAAGAGGGUUCAAUUGUUUCAUCAAAGAGAUGGAUGGGAAUUGCAAAUGCAUGAGCAAUGGCCUUUGGGACAGGCUACAGUAAAUACGACAGAAAACUGCAUGCAAAUAUGCUGGCAAAAUGCAAGUGAGGGGAAGAGAAAAGUCAUCUUGUGGGUGCAGUCAGUUAUAUUUACAAAAGCUGCAGGGCAGAUUUUUUUUACAUUGUGCUUGUUUUCCAAAAUUAAAUCCGCAUUUUAAAUCUUCACUCCUGCCAUCUUAGUAAUUAGUUCCAGCAUGUAUCUGUGCCCAUCAGUGCCACUGUAAUAUUGGUUCAUUAAAACAAUUCUGGGAAGGGAAAAUUAAAAAUGUAAAUGCCUCAAGUUUCAUAGCAGUUGCUGUUGUGGAAAUUUGGAAACACUGUUGACAAGACAAAAAGUUCUCACUGAAACAAUUAAUUUCCUUAUUGUCACGCUUCUUCAGCAGCGAUGCUGCAGAGGUUACUUAAUAUGACAAAUGCUUACAGGUAGGCUGUGUUUCAGUAAGCCAACAGCAGAUGAAUCGAACACUAUUUCCAGGCAUCAUCCAUUUGUGCUGAGAGAGAUUGGCCAAAUGUUCCCAUAGGGCUGCUCAUAGCCCAGUCUGUGCCUUGCCUCCACUGCCAUGGGAAGUGAAGAAAGCAAGAAAGUUGGAAGAGCCUGCUGACUUCUUAUUGUCUCAUGAAACCCUUUCUUUUGUUGCACCUGCUUUCCUCAUUGCUUCUACGAGAGAAAAGAAGGGAUCGAAUUCAUCCUUGCAAUAAAUCCACCAAUGUGAGCUCGCAUCAGAAAACUUCAUUCUUUUCAAAGGCAAAGUUAUCACAAGUGGUGAGAAGGGGUUUGUGUCACAUUAAGGCUUUAUGAAAGAGCCAGAAUUCUUAUACUUUAUUAAUGAGGAUUUUCUUUUGAUAAAUGUGCUUUGUAUCCCAGUAGCUGCACGUGGUUUCUGUGUUACAAGGACUUCUAUGGGAGAUAACUGGGUUACUCACAGCUAAAUAGUAAUUUUCAAGGAAGAGCUGAUAAAACAGCCACCAUGCAUGAGUUAAUGAGUUUUUUUGCUAAGCAGCUUCCUUUGAAGAGAACCCUUUAAUUUGAGGGAACGUGUUUUAGGGCAGCAGACUGGGAUGUGAGAGUCUCACAUGUUCUUCCUUGUGUCCCCACUUUGUUGGCUGCUGUAGACGAACUUGCCAUCUUCCUGUGAUUAUAGAAACAUAGACUCAUAGAAUGGCCUGGGUUGAAAAAGACCACAAUGCUCAUCUAGUUUCACCUCCCCUGCUAUGUGCAGGGUCACCAACCACUAGA